AAGCUGACUGUGUCGCAGGACACAACCCCAGAUACCCUUUGUGAACUUAUUCUUAUAUCGUUGCCUCGGCGCUGAGCUGGGGGCUUCUUUCCAAGGAGCUCUCCCAUGGUCUCUCGGGACGAUGGAGCAAGCCCGCCGGCGGCCCUUCUAAACUCUUGUUUUUAUUACGUAUCUCUUCUGAGUUAUUCAAAACAAAAUGAAUCAAAACUUUCAACAACGGAUCUCUUGGUUCUGGCAUCGAUGAAGAACGCAGCGAAAUGCGAUAAGUAAUGUGAAUUGCAGAAUUCAGUGAAUCAUCGAAUCUUUGAACGCACAUUGCGCCCGCUGGAAUUCCAGCGGGCAUGCCUGUUCGAGCGUCAUUUCACCCCUCAAGCCUUGCUUGGUGUUGGAGCACUACCGUUUGUAUAAAGCGGUAGGCUCUGAAAUUCAGUGGCGGGCUCGCUAAGACUCUGAGCGUAGUAGUUUAUCACCUCGCUUUGGAAGGAUUAGCGGUGCUCUUGCCGUAAAACCCCCCAACUUCUGAAUUUUGACCUCGGAUCAGGUAGGAAUACCCGCUGAACUUAAGCAUAUCAAAAGCCGGGAGGAA
rnacentral:rRNA from 1 species